UUAAAAUUGUCCUUCUAUCUUACGUUGUAUGCGUAUCUCUUAUAUUAAACUGGGUUCAUCUAACCACUAUACAUUUCAUAAAUAAAUAAAUUACAAUUGGGUCAAAAUAAAUGUUCACAAAAGCUUCGGCUUCUCAAGGUCAUGAAAACAUUAAAAAAAAAAAUAGCACAAAUCAAUAAUUAAAAACUAAUUUUGAAAUCUCUUUGAACAAGACAAAUAUUUUGGUUCAGUCGCUGAACAAAUCUGUUUACUGUCUAAAAUCUGAAAACCAUUUUUCCGACAGCUGACAGCUUCGAACAGAAUAUAGUACACAAUUUGCAAUCCAAAAAUGAGUACAAUAAAAAUAAAACAAAUAACGUGACGUGCGACUGGCCUUAGUAUUGAGAUAUACGUAUAUGAUUUUCUUAAAAUAAAAGCAUUUUUUGUCAAUUAAAUACAAAACCGACAAGUUUGAUUGGAGGCUUUGUAAAAAAUAAAAUUCGAAUGUAAAAAGAGUUUCAGUUAGCGCAGGUGGAUUUUACAGAAAAAAAUUCAAUGCAAUUAAACAUUACAUGUAUCGAUGAGUCCAUUAAUCAUUUCAUUUGGUUCAAUUCGCGCCACUGAGUUUAAAUUAUAAUGAUACAAUAAAAAAAAUUGAUGAUAAAGAGGGACUAAUGCAAUCAGCGUCGAGACCAAUUGAAUCAACACAAGAAAAAUCCAAUAUGCUCGUGCAAAUUGAAUCACUCCAAUUUGCCAUCCAUUUUUUCCGGACAUUGCAAGCCUAAUGAAUAAAAUGAUAAUACCCAGCGUCGGUGAGUCUAUAAAUGGGCAGAUUGCAUAAUAUUUGCACCCAUUGGUUUACAUUGCGCCUCGCCAAACGGCUGUGAAAAGUCACAUGGCGUUGCGAUUUGAAACAAUGGCUGACCGCACAGUACGGCGAAGAAGCAGCAGUGGGUGGUUGGGUGCUGCAGGUGGUGCCGGUGGUGCUGGUGGUGCUGGUGGUGUUGCUGGUGGGCCACCGAAGAAGUCACCGUUGCCAGACAGACUGGGCCAAAAACCAUAACCACCGGCACUGGAACCCCGAAUAGAGCUCAUUGCAUAACGCCUGAUGAGCAAUAGUUGCGAUUACUUUCCAUUGUUGAACUGUGACUGUGUCACGCAAAAAACAUCAAAGUGCGGGUACAUAUGUCUGUUUGUAUGUUUAGGGAAUUGUGUACUUAGUAACCUCGCACUGAGAGAUCAGAGUUCGCUUGGCUGACUCACUAAGCGAGUUGAGUUGGUUACGAGUGGACCGUGUAAUCAGGCACAACUACUACUGCCAAUCGGCGCAUCAAUCGGUGGGUCAUUGAAGUUAAUUUACUGUGAGCGAUAAAUUAACUUCCCUCAAUGGAAUGACAACUUGUUUGAAGCCGCCCUCGUCGGAGCCAACUUGUAAUUACAAUUAGCCGCAGCACUUAAGUUCUAGCUGUUCUGUGAAAAAUGUAUCUUUCGCUUUGCAAUUGUAAUAAUCAAUAAAUAGCAGGUAAUUAGAACGCAAACCUACUAUAAACCUGAGAUAGCAUACAUGUAAAAAUAUGACUAUUUAACUAUUGUUUCUAUCAAUUUUAAUAUGUUUGCUAAUUGAUUUUAGUUUAUUAAAGAUACAUACUGUUAAGCGA
rnacentral:sRNA from 1 species